GCAGCGACUCGGGUUGCUGUCGCUACAGUUGCGGCUCGGUCGAGCUCCUCCUCCGCCUCCGCCUCCUGCUUCCCGCUGGGCCUCCCGCGUUGCCUGGAGAGGCCGAACUGAGCCUCCGCUUCCUCUUGGAGUCGCCCAGGACUGAACUGAGAUAUUUGGCCCAGAGACUAAACGGAUUGAAGUAAUUUCCACUGAAAGAAGUAGAAGAGCUGAAACAGUAUUGAUUCAAAAAGCUAGUAGUGGUGGUGUCAGAAGAAAGAGCCACAGAUAAUGCUGACUUCCAGCAACCACAACCGGAACCUGGAAACAAAUGAAAAAUAUCUCAGAGUCCAAGGAAAACAGAGGCCUAAAUUCCAUGCAUGUGAAGCAACAGUGGUGCCCUUAGGUCAAAGUCUAUUUUAUUUCUUAUAAAACUGUUGGAGCCAAUUAGCAUAAGGGCUCCCGAGGCCAGCUUUAUAUGCAGCACCUUUCUCUGUAUUUUGUUUCUUUUUUCUUUUUAGCUAAAAUCAUACACAUACAUUUGCCCUUACCUCUACUCAUUUCCUACUCAGACUUACUCUUCUCUCCCAUAUAGUUCAACAUUUACUGUCUUUUUCACGUGAGCAUUUUAAGACGGUCAAGUAGCUCCUCUCUUAAAGCUAAUCAAGUCUUCUACAGCCCUGCAGUCUUCACUCCCUCACCUCAGCCUUUAAUAAACACAUUUUUUUCGGUACUAUCUGUAAUUCCAUUCACAGGGCUACUUCCAAUAUAUGAGACAGCUUUGCUCAAGGGAGGAAACAGAGUCCUUUUGCUACAAGGAGAUGCAGUUGAGGUGGGAAAUCUGGAGGUUUUUAGCUUCAUGAGUGCCCCCUCUGCUGGAUCCCUCCAGCAGUACAUGCGAGACACAACAGAACAAUCUGCUGCUGCAGCUUUUCAGCGAUUCCCACUGUAAAUUUCUUACAUUUGCAACGACUGUUACUAAAACUUGGUUAAUGGGCUAAAAGUACGGAGAAAUUGUUCUGCCCUCAUUUCUUUCUGUAGCUUCAGGAUUGUACACUUGACCCUUUUGGCAACAGAGCCUUUGUAAAUUUCCUUGGGAACGCCUCUUCUGUCACCGCUGCUGCCCUCAGACUCAUUACUGUUUCCUGGCAGUCUUUUUCCAUCUUCCACUUCCUGAAUUUUUCUCUCUGGCAACUGAAGUAAAUUAUAUUAGUUUACGUGAAAAAUUAAAAGUGAAGUGUUGAAAGAAUGUCAGCUUUUGUUUAGGUUUCCUCCCACUUAUCUCUGCUCAGUAAAAUAGCUUAAAAGGAUAAUAAAAAGCAAGUUUCAGGCUGGUUGUCCAAAAAAAUUUACUUUUAGUCUACAAGAUAUAUAUAGUCAUUGCAAUGAACUUCUACAAUAACAAAGAAAUAGAAAUUCUUUGGCACUUCAUUUUUCAGAUACAGCCAUGUUAACAAUCGAGUUAGUUUCAUUGACUAUUCCCUGUGUAAUACACAUGCAUCUAACAUUUUUAAAAAUGGAUUAACAUAUGUCUGAACAAUUUUAUGCUUUUAAACUUACUUUGUGAGAGUUUUAACAGUUAAAAAUCUUGAAGGGAUGGGCAUUGUGGCACAGUGGGUUGCCGCUUGGGAUGCUCAUGCAAGUGCUGGGAUAAAGUUCCGCCUGUUUCUGAGUUUCUUUCUAAUGCACACUCUGGGAAACAAAAGAUGAUGAUGCAGGAACUGGGAUUCAUGCCACCCUCAUUGGAAACCGGGUUAGAAUUCCUGGCUCCUUGUUGGCAUGGCCUAGCCCUGGCUAUUGCAUACAUUUGGGAAGUAAACCAGUGAAUGGAAGUUCUCUUUCUCUUCAUCUCUCUCUCCCCCUGCUUCUUUGCUUUUCAGAUAAAAAUCAAUUUAAAAAACUGAGAGGCAGGCAUCUUGGUGUAGAGGUCUAAGCUGCCA